rnacentral:rRNA from 1 species
UGGGGAAUAUUGCACAAUGGGCGCAAGCCUGAUGCAGCCAUGCCGCGUGUAUGAAGAAGGCCUUCGGGUUGUAAAGUACUUUCAGCGGGGAGGAAGGGAGUAAAGUUAAUACCUUAGCUCAUUGACGUUACCCGCAGAAGAAGCACCGGCUAACUCCGUGCCAGCAGCCGCGGUAAUACGGAGGGUGCAAGCGUUAAUCGGAAUUACUGGGCGUAAAGCGCACGCAGGCGGUUUGUUAAGUCAGAUGUGAAAUCCCCGGGCUCAACCUGGGAACUGCAUCUGAUACUGGCAAGCUUGAGUCUCGUAGAGGGGGGUAGAAUUCCAGGUGUAGCGGUGAAAUGCGUAGAGAUCUGGAGGAAUACCGGUGGCGAAGGCGGCCCCCUGGACGAAGACUGACGCUCAGGUGCGAAAGCGUGGGGAGCAAACAGG